UUGGAAAGCAUUUAUGUCAGUGGUGGUUAACCUUUUUGGGCUCCUGUGCCAAAAAUUGUACGCGCGCUUGCACACUCGCACUCGCGUGCUAGCACCCAGAA